rnacentral:rRNA from 1 species
UAAGGAAUAUUGGUCAAUGGACGCAAGUCUGAACCAGCCAUGCCGCGUGAAGGAUGAAGGUCCUCUGGAUUGUAAACUUCUUUUAUCUGGGACGAAACACUUCUUUUCUAAGAGGCCUGACGGUACCAGAUGAAUAAGCACCGGCUAACUCCGUGCCAGCAGCCGCGGUAAUACGGAGGGUGCAAGCGUUAUCCGGAUUCACUGGGUUUAAAGGGUGCGUAGGUGGGUAUGUAAGUCAGUGGUGAAAUCCCCGAGCUUAACUUGGGAACUGCCAUUGAUACUAUAUAUCUUGAAUACCGUAGAGGUAAGCGGAAUAUGUCAUGUAGCGGUGAAAUGCUUAGAUAUGACAUGGAACACCAAUUGCGAAGGCAGCUUACUAUGCGGUGAUUGACACUGAGGCACGAAAGCGUGGGUAGCAAAC